AUUGAACGCUGGCGGCAUGCCUUACACAUGCAAGUCGAACGGUAACAGGUCUUCGGAUGCUGACGAGUGGCGAACGGGUGAGUAAUACAUCGGAACGUGCCCGAGAGUGGGGGAUAACGAGGCGAAAGCUUUGCUAAUACCGCAUACGAUCCCAGGAUGAAAGCAGGGGACCGCACGGCUUUGCGCUCACGGAGCGGCCGAUGGCAGAUUAGGUAGUUGGUGGGAUAAAAGCUUACCAAGCCGACGAGCUGUAGCUGGUCUGAGAGGACGACCAGCCACACUGGGACUGAGACACGGCCCAGACUCCUACGGGAGGCAGCAGUGGGGAAUUUUGGACAAUGGGCGCAAGCCUGAUCCAGCCAUGCCGCGUGCAGGAUGAAGGCCUUCGGGUUGUAAACUGCUUUUGUACGGAACGAAAAGACUCUGGUUAAUACCUGGGGUCCAUGACGGUACCGUAAGAAUAAGCACCGGCUAACUCUGUGCCAGCCGCCGCCGUAAAAC
rnacentral:rRNA from 1 species